UAGAUAUCUGAUUUAUUGGCAUAGAACAAGUCUGAUAUACAAUAUUGUACGGAAACUAGUGGUAUAGAUCUAGUGAUAUAGAUCAGCAGGACAAUGGGACUGGGACUUUCUGAAGGCACUGUACAAAGUAAGGGUAUUUAAAUUGUUGAAGUAUUGACGCAUAGUGACUCGAAGGAGUUCCGUUUCUGCAUUCAACUCUGUGGAUGAAGUCAUGGUGGAGUUGAGGUACAUGGCAAGGGAUGGGACAGGGACUGACUAAGGCUGGGGAUGGGACAGGGACUGACUAAGGCUGGGGAUGGGACAGGGACUGACUAAGGCUGGGGAUGGGACUGACUAAGGCUGGGGAUGGGACAGGGACUGACUAAGGCUGGGGAUGGGACAGGGUCUGACUAAGGCUGGGGAUGGGACAGGGUCUGACUAAGGCUGGGGAUGGGACAGGGUCUGACUAAGGCUGGGGAUGGGACAGGGACUGACUAAGGCUGGGGAUGGGACAGGGACUGACUAAGGCUGGGGAUGGGACAGGGACUGACUAAGGCUGGGGAUGGGACUGACUAAGGCGGGGGAUGUGACAGGGACUGACUAAGGCUGGGGAUGGGACAGGGACUGACUAAGGCUGGGGAUGGGACAGGGACUGACUAAGGCUGGGGAUGGGACAGGGACUGACUAAGGCUGGGGAUGGGACAGGGACUGACUAAGGCUGGGGAUGGGACUGACUAAGGCUGGGGAUGGGACAGGGAAUGACUAAGGCUGGGGAUGGGACAGGGACUGACUAAGGCUGGGGAUGGGACAGGGACUGACUAAGGCUGGGGAUGGGACUGACUAAGGCUGGGGAUGGGACAGGGAAUGACUAAGGCUGGGGAUGGGACAGGGACUGACUAAGGCUGGGGAUGGGACUGACUAAGGCUGGGAGGGAGGGAAGGCUGGAUGGAUGGGAGGGAGGGAAGGCUGGAUGGAUGGGAGGGAGGGAAGGAAGGCUGGAUGGAUGGGAGGGAGGGAAGGUUGGAUGGAGAAUAAAGUAGAAUACUCUAUUACAGACAUGACAAUCAACCGCUUACAAUGGUGGAAAACCAUGUAACAAAAACAUUCAAAACUUUCAUGACUUACAAUACUUUACAAGGAACCAAUGUGCUACAGCUCUAACAAUAGAAUCACCCUGGGACUGAAGGGAUUGUCUUAAGACCAAUGUGCUACAGUUCUAACAAUAGAAUCACCCCGGGACUGAAGGGAUUGUCUUAAGACCAAUGUGCUACAGUUCUAACAAUAGAAUCACCCUGGGACUGAAGGGAUUGUCUUAAGACCAAUGUGCUACAGUUCUAACAAUAGAAUCACCCUGGGACUGAAGGGAUUGUCUUAAGACCAAUGUGCUACAGUUCUAACAAUAGAAUCACCCCGGGACUGAAGGGAUUGUCUUAAGACCAAUGUGCUACAGUUCUAACAAUAGAAUCACCCUGGGACUGAAGGGAUUGUCU
ensembl:lncRNA